rnacentral:rRNA from 1 species
UAGUAACUGCGAGUGAAGCGGGAAAAGCUCAAAUUUAAAAUCUGGCAGUCUCACUGUCCGAGUUGUAAUCUGGAGAAGCAUUUUCUGUGCUAGACCGUGUACAAGUCUCUUGGAAUAGAGNGUCAUAGAGGGUGAGAAUCCCGUCCAUGACACGGAUUACUAGUGCUUUGUGAUAUGCUCUCGAAGAGUCGAGUUGUUUGGGAAUGCAGCUCAAAAUGGGUGGUAAAUUCCAUCUAAAGCUAAAUAUUGGCGAGAGACCGAUAGCGAACAAGUACCGUGAGGGAAAGAUGAAAAGCACUUUGGAAAGAGAGUUAAACAGUACGUGAAAUUGUUGAAAGGGAAACGCUUGAAGUCAGUCGCGUUGUCUGAGACUCAGCCUUGCUUGCAUGGUGUACUUCUCAGUUAACGGGUCAACAUCAAUUUCAGUUGGUGGAUAAAGGCAUUGGGAAUGUGGCACCUUCGGGUGUGUUAUAGCCCUUUGUUGCAUACACUGACCGGGAUUGAGGAACGCAGCACGCCACUAAGGCCAGGGGUUCGCCCCAUGUAACGUGCUUAGGAUGUUGGCAUAAUGGCUUUAAGCGACCCGUCUUGAAACACGGACCAAGGAGUCUAACAUGCCUGCGAGUAUUAGGGUGGAAAACCCUUGUGCGUAAUGAAAGUGAAAGUUGGGACCUCUUUGAGGGCACCGACGCCUGGCCCUGAAGUUUACUGACGGCGCUACGGUAGAGCAUGUAUGUUGGGACCCGAAAGAUGGUGAACUAUGCCUGAAUAGGGUGAAGCCAGGGGAAACUCUGGUGGAGGCUCGUAGCGAUUCUGACGUGCAAAUCGAUCGUCAAAUUUGGGUAUAG